rnacentral:rRNA from 1 species
CAAAAUGGGAGGUAAAUUUCUCCUAAGGCUAAAUAUCGGCGAGAGACCGAUAGCGAACAAGUACCGUGAGGGAAAGAUGAAAAGAACUUUGAAAAGAGAGUAAAAUAGUACGUGAAAUUGUUGAAAGGGAAACGAUUGAAGUCAGUCGUACCGACGAGAAAUCAACUUAUCGUGUGCGAACUUGUGGGCGUGCGUGAGUUUCGGCCUCGCUGUUUGCAUGUUUGUGCGUUUUGGGUGUACUUUUUCGUAUGGUAGGCCAACGUCAGUUUCGACUAUCAUAAAAUGACCGGCGGAAUGUAGCUUCGAUUUCGGUUGAAGUGUUAUAGCCUCUGGUAGAUGUGGUGAUUGAGACUGAGGAUUGCAACGAAUACCCUUUGGGCUAUCCGUCUGGCCUCUGAAAGUUGCUCAGGUGCCGAAAGCGUGCUUACGGUCAUCUAAGAUAACGUUCAACAGGUUAGAACGUGAUUAC